rnacentral:sRNA from 1 species
AAAUAAAUCUAAGAAGAAUAGAAGUCCUAAGGAUGGAUUCAUUGAUAAGGGCAACUCUAGGGUUCAUCAGGUGGCUAACAUGCGAAAGGCAA